AUUAUGGUGUUGGUUUGGUGUUGGUUGAAUCAAGUUGAAUUUUAAUUUCAAAUAAAAUUGUAUUUUGCUGUGUUUUAUAGAGCGUGGGACUGGAUUAGACAGCAGUGUGAUAUCUAAGAGUAUGGCAGGGGAGGGUGCUGGCUCGCAAGUGGCGCUGGUAACAGGGGGCUACGACCACACAAUCAAGCUAUGGCAGGCGCACAGUGGUGUUUGCUUACGAACCAUGCAACACCCGGACUCGCAAGUGAACGGCCUGGAGAUCACCCCUAAUGGUCAGAUGGUGGCGGCGUGUGGUUACCAGCACAUUCGUCUGUAUGACCUGGCUAGCGCCAACCCUGACCCUGUGCACCACUUCGAGGGAGUCACCAAAAAUGUCUCUAGAGUGGGGUUCCAAGAAGAUGGCAAAUGGAUGUAUACUGGUGGAGAAGACUGCACAGCUCGUAUAUGGGACUUGAGAGGCCGUCAGUUCCAAUGCCAGAGGAUAUUCCAAGUGCCUGCUCCAGUUAAUGCAGUGGUGCUCCAUCCAGACCAGACACAGAUCAUGGUGGGCGACCAGAGCGGCAUCAUACACAUGUGGGACUUGCGAACGGAUCAGAAUGAACAACUGAUUCCAGAAGCAGAAGCGUCAAUCCAGGACAUAGCGAUAGACCCUGAAGGCAAGAUGAUGGCUGCGGUGAAUAACAAGGGUAACGUGUACGUGUGGUCGCUCGAGGAGCCGCCGUGCCCCAAGCCGCGGAAACAUAUACAGGCGCACCGCAAGUACGCGCUCCGGUGUAAAUUCAGCCAUGAUUCUAGCAUGCUAGUGACGACGUCGGGCGACUGCUCGGCCAAGAUCUGGCGCACGAGCGACUGGUCGCUGCAGCGCGAGCUGCGGCAGGACACGCAGCGCUGGGUGUGGGACUGCGCCUUCAGUAUCGACUCGCGGUACCUGUUCACUGGUUCGUCAGACAGCUACGCGCGUCUUUGGGACUUAGAGAAGGGCACACUGGAGCGAGAGUACUGCGGCCAUCAGAAGCCCAUCACCGCGCUCGCGUUCAAGGACCAGGCUGUGUAACAAACACAGUACAAAGUAUCAUCCUGCAUCAUACAACCUCAAGUCGUUCCUGCAUUUAUCGUGUGUACGUUAUAACAAACUUGAGCGAGGCGGGCGGCGGCGGCGCGGCCCGCGCCAGCAGCAGCACCUGCGUGAGCGCCGGCGGGGGCAGGAACGGGUUGCGGGCGGGCAGCCUCGUGCCCGACGGGGUCAGCAGCCG